CCUGGUUGAUCCUGCCAGUAGUCAUAUGCUUGUCUCAAAGAUUAAGCCAUGCAUGUGUAAGUAUGAACUAUUUCAUACUGUGAAACUACAAAUGGCUCAUUAAAUCAGUUAUAGUUUGUUUGAUGGUACAUGCUACUCGGAUAACUGUAGUAAUUCUAGAUCUAAUACGUGCACCAAAACCCCGACUUAUGGAAGGGAUGCAUUUAUUAGGUAAAAUGCUGAUGCAGGCUUAUGCCCGUUGCCUUGAUGACUCAUGAUAACUCAUCAGAUCGCAUGGCCCUUAUGCCGGCGACGCAUCAUUCGAAUAUCUGCCCUAUUAACUUUCGAUGGUAGGAUAGGGGCCUACAAUGGUGGUGACGGUUGACGGAGAAUUAGGGUUCGAUUCCGGAGAGGGAGACUGAGAGAUGGAUACCACAUCCAAGGAAGGCAGCAGGCACGCAAAUUACCCAAUCCUGACCCGGGGAGGUAGUGACAAUAAAUAACAAUAUCGGGCUCUUUAAGUCUAGUAAUUGGAAUGAGUACAAUCUAAAUCCCUUAACGAGGAUCCAUUGGAGGUCAAGUAUGGUGCCAGCAGCCGCGGUAAUUCUAGCUCCAAUAGCAUAUAAUUAAGUUGUUCCAGUUAAAAAGCUUGUAGUUGGACCUUGGGUUGGGUCGGUUGGUCCGCCUCACGGUGUGCACUGCCCGCCUCAUCCCUUAUGCCGGCGAUGCGUUCCUGUCCUUAACUGGCCGGGUCAUGCCUCCGGCACCGUUACUUUGAAGAAAUUAGAGUGCUUAAAGAAAGCCCACGCUCUGGAUUCAUUAGCAUGGGAUAACACCACAGGAUUCCGGUCCAAUUGUGUUGGCCUUCGGGAUCGGAGUAAUGAUUAAGAGGGAUGGUCGGGGGCAUUCAUAUUUCAUAGUCAGAGGUGAAAUUCUUGGAUUUAUGAAAGACGAACCACUGCGAAAGCAUUUGCCAAGGAUGUUUUCAUUAAUCAAGAAUGAAAGUUGGGGGCUCGAAGACGAUCAGAUACCGUCCUAGUCUCAACCAUAAACGUUGCCGACCAGGGAUCGGUGGAUGUUGCUUUUAGGACUCCGCCGGCACCUUAUGAGAAAAUAAAGUUUUUGGGUUCCUUGAAAAUAAGUUGCAUUAAGCAAUUAGAAAAACUACAAAAAGCAAAAAAGGCAACAGGGGGGAGAACUCUCCAAGAAACACAUGAGAGGCAAAAACAGCAAAAAUGCAAACAAACACAAAAUAGAUACAAUGCUAAGGAAAAGGGCCUUCUGAGGAAGGGUUCUGGAGAGAUGCACGGGCACCAAAAGCAAACCAGCCGGGGGGGGAGCCGAAUAGAAGUGAAAACUGCUCAAGGAGCAGAAAAGCUCCCAAGUGCUCGGCCAGGCCUGCCCGAUCCUCGUAACAUCCCACAGAUCCCUCAAAGAGAAGAGCCUCAUAAAGCACCAGAGGGAAGAAGGUCCCCGCCCAUAGAGUCAUCAGGCACCUUCUUGCGCUUCCGUGGAACAAUGGGGCCAAGUUGAAGGAUCUCCUUCUGCAGCAUAAUCCCUCUGGAAGGAGCCUUUUUAAUGACCAUUAAGGACCUCCCAGCAGGGAAAGACGAGGCUCCAGUCACAGACCCAGGAGGCCGAGCAACAAGAACCACAAUAGGGGGUUGAGACAUCAGACCCGGGAUAGUAGGGAGCUAUUUUCGUGGCCGUCGCCACC
rnacentral:rRNA from 1 species